UUCCUUUCUUCUGGGGCAUUGGACAACUCAGAUUGGGCCACGUAAUUCAAGCGGAGUUUACUUUGGUGUCCCAGCAUAAACAAAAAAAUAAGUAGUAGGUGGUUUCUUCCUAUCCGUCUAAGUUUUGUUUUUAUGGACAAAGUUAUUUGAUAAUUGUCUUGAUGGGAGGUAAAAGUACCCGGUGAAAUAGACAGGGUGCAAAGGAUAGAAAGAAUUGUGAUACUUUUUGUAGGUGGUGGUCCAAUUUGUGCUGUCAUUCCAGUGUGCUUGUCCCUCUCAACUUUCCAUUUUCCACCUCUUCUCAUUCCCUUUUUUUUUUAACUAUGGUAAUUGUAGUAAGCUAAAAUGAAUGAUUACUGCCUUUGAGAUGCUUACAAGUAACGCAGCCUGUUCAUGUUUGCUAUGCACUUUGCCUAUCAACUGUGACAGGACCCAAGUCACUACGUGUAGUUUCAAAUUUUGUUAUCGAUUCCCCUUGAAUUUCCUCUAAUAUGGUCUUGGAGUAGGGCCAUUGAUAAGUGACUGCACAUUAUCGAUCGGCCCCCUCGAAGAGUAGUAUUUUGGGAGCACACAGAUUUGCAAGCAAUCAGUUUUCAUGAUGGUAUGAGAUUCAGGGGGUACCCAGUUAGGUAACCAUUCAUUGACUUUUAUCAACAUCUUAUCUUGUGGUUUUGGUGGUCAGAUAGAUGCACCAAAUGAAUCAGUUUUACUGGAGAUUUGAUUCGUUUCUUAGCUGGGAAUGCACUCACUAUGUGUAGUGAUUCACUUUACAAGGUGGAUAUGAAUUUGUGACCUCACUAAUUUGGAGGUUGGUGGUCUUCUUUUUAGGACAUGUAUAACAGCUUCACAUCAAUCACAAGUUCAAAAUACAGUUUGUACAGCUUAGUGGUUUUCGUUAUUUCCCUCUAUGGCACACCAGGGUAUGGUCCACCAGUUAAUGAUGUGGGAUGAAAAUCAUAAAAGAUCAAUGUUCAAAUUUCAGCAAAGAGCAAAAGGCAGUAGCCGAUACACGGAUAUAUUUAGAAACAUGCCGACAAUUUCAAGUUUGUGGAGAAGUAGAGAGGAAAAGGUCAAUGCAUAUGCAGUAAUGUGAAGGAGUCUAUCAAGUCUAAAGACUUUAAAGACUAUGGGGUAUGGGCAAUGAACCUUUUUGCAGAAGUAUGAAGUUAAGGACCACCAACGGAUGUGGUGCAUCAGGUAUGCAAUAUUUGUUCCUUCCUUAAUUAGAGGUCUUGAGUUCAAGUCCUAAAUAUGUAAAAUCCUUUGAAGGAAAUGCUUCCCCAAAUGUGAUCCUAUGUGACGAGAAUCCGAAAUAGUCAAAUUCUAAUGCGAUACUCAGACACCAAAUAGGAAAAAAAAGAGAAUGAAGUUAAGAACGACCUAGGAUAUAAUCAUAAUUUCACAACUAACAUAAUGACAUUUUAGAUAUUUUCCUAUGACUUCGAUGUAUGUUGGGUCCAUUUAUCUCAUCAUUCUGGACAAUUUAUAACCUUUGAACAUAGUUAUCCACGUGGCUAUGAGGAGCCAAACAUUAUUUGGUAACACAUUUAGGAAUUGUUUGGUACAAAAAUUAAUAACAUAAAGAUUAGU